GUUGGUGAGGUAGUGGCUCACCAAGGCGAUGACGGGUAGCCGGCCUGAGAGGGCGACCGGCCACACUGGGACUGAGACACGGCCCAGACUCCUACGGGAGGCAGCAGUGGGGAAUAUUGCACAAUGGGCGAAAGCCUGAUGCAGCGACGCCGCGUGAGGGAUGACGGCCUUCGGGUUGUAAACCUCUUUCAGCAGGGAAGAAGCGAAAGUGACGGUACCUGCAGAAGAAGCGCCGGCUAACUACGUGCCAGCAGCCGCGGUAAUACGUAGGGCGCAAGCGUUGUCCGGAAUUAUUGGGCGUAAAGAGCUUGUAGGUGGCUUGUCGCGUCUGCCGUGAAAACCCGAGGCUCAACCUCGGGCGUGCGGUGGGUACGGGCAGGCUAGAGUGUGGUAGGGGAGACUGGAACUCCUGGUGUAGCGGUGAAAUGCGCAGAUAUCAGGAAGAACACCGAUGGCGAAGGCAGGUCUCUGNNNCAUUACUGACACUGAGAAGCGAAAGCNNNGGGAGCGAACAGGAUUAGAUACCCUGGUAGUCCAUGCCGUAAACGUUGGGCACU
rnacentral:rRNA from 1 species